rnacentral:precursor_RNA from 15 species
GAUCCCCUCUGCAUUCGGGGCCAGCGCCUCGGCUGGCGUACGUUGGCGUUGCUCCAUUGAAGCCAGCAGCUACGCCGACGUGAGCCAGCUGAUGCUCUGGCCCUCGGCAUCUCACGCGUUGA